rnacentral:tmRNA from 1 species
GGGGGUGACAGGUUUCGACGUUGGACGUCGUUCCAGGAGAAGCGGGCCGAGAAGGUGACGUGAUCUCGUAAACCUCGUCGCAAACCAAUAGGUGCUAACACAAACAGCGCCGACUACGCCCUCGCCGCCUGAGCGAGUGUGAUAGUCCGUCAGCCCGGGCACGCCUUCGGCCCGGUCGCUGGCGUCAGCUAGAAGGCCACUGGCCAAGGGUCCGGUCACGGGAUCUGCGGCGACACCAACAGUGACUGAGCCCGGCUCGGCGACAUGCAUGCUGGAUCGCCGGGGCUGAGAAAAGCCGUAGCAGGCUGCGCCCGGAGAAGACCUGGUUCACCGCCAACGGACGCGGGUUCGAUUCCCGCCACCUCCACCA